GCGGGGGUGCGCCGGCAACGGCGUGAAGCUGACAGCUGAAGCUCAAGCUGAAUCCACCGGUCCCAGUGCGGGUUCGAGUCCCGCCCCCCGCA
rnacentral:tRNA from 1 species